ACUGGCUUCACCAAGUCAGCUUAAGGGAGACCAUUAAAAGGGCUAGUCUAGGAGCACCUAAAUCAGUCACACUGAUUUACCUAGCUGACAUGGGUCAGCUCGAAUAGUCAAAUGAUCCGAUCAAAACAUAAUUUUAUCAAGAGGUCAGGUAAGUUCGAUCGGUGGGAGGAUCUGCCAAAGCUUGCCUUAGACACCAUCAGAAAUGGCCAGGUAAGCGGGCUGCCAAUUAAAAACCACCGAUCUGGUUUACCUUAGACAC
rnacentral:lncRNA from 1 species